rnacentral:rRNA from 1 species
CCGUUGUACACACCGCCCGUCGCACCAUGGGAGCGGGUUCUGCCAGAAGUAGUUAGCCUAACCGCAAGGAGGGCGAUUACCACGGCAGGGUUCGUGACUGGGGUG